ACAACAACAAACAGAGCAACAAAUGAACAAAUAACUACAUAAUGACUGAUAAUGAUAAGUGAUAAUAAUAACUUUAAUGAUAUGAAGGCUGAUGAAGUUUUAGACAACCAAUACAAGAUUUAGAACUUGACAUCGUGAUAAACAAAUUGUACAUUCAGGAACUCGUUUAAAUAUUAUAGGUUGAUUGACGAAUACUCUACAGUUGAUUAGAGCCCAUGAUGAUGCGAAGAUAAUUAAUAUCACCUAACUUCAAGAAACCAACGUAAAGAAGUUUACAUUCAUAACUCAUCUAACCAUUAUAGGUACAUUUUUAUCUUCUAGAUCAGUAAUGUCGUCAUAAUUUAAAUGAACUCACAGAUAGCAAUGGGGCACUGCACCGAAGCAGUAUUACAAAAUAUGUGAAAUAAAACUGUAAUACAAAUUGCUCUAUAAAAUUUAAUAGAAAUAAAUUUAUUUAUGAAAAUUAAGUUAUGAAGUUUUAUUUUUCCUAGGAAAAAAAUAACAUUUAUAUUUUGAUCAAUUUAGAACAUUACAGUUAAAAAAAUAUGUGUUAGAAUAACAUAUUUUUAAUAAAAUUGCAGCUUUUAAUUUUUAUACUUUUUUGCUUUUAUAUCAAUAAGAACUAACGUAAGGAACAAUUCAUAUUUAUACUAUGAAAACACAUGCAUAUUUUUUGAUGUUUUUAAAACCAGUGAAUGAUGUUGAAAUAUACUACACCUAUUAUUCUUAUUAACUAACUUUAAUUACAAACUUACACAUUAUUGUCAUUGGAAAUAAAUUAAUUUGGAUAUUCUA